rnacentral:rRNA from 1 species
AACGAACGCUGGCGGCAUGCCUAACACAUGCAAGUCGAACGAUGCUUUCGGGCAUAGUGGCGCACGGGUGCGUAACGCGUGGGAAUCUGCCCUUGGGUUCGGAAUAACAGUGAGAAAUUGCUGCUAAUACCGGAUGAUGUCUUCGGACCAAAGAUUUAUCGCCCAGGGAUGAGCCCGCGUAGGAUUAGCUAGUUGGUGGGGUAAUGGCCUACCAAGGCGACGAUCCUUAGCUGGUCUGAGAGGAUGAUCAGCCACACUGGGACUGAGACACGGCCCAGACUCCUACGGGAGGCAGCAGUGGGGAAUAUUGGACAAUGGGCGCAGGCCUGAUCCAGCAAUGCCGCGUGAGUGAUGAAGGCCUUAGGGUUGUAAAGCUCUUUUACCCGGGAUGAUAAUGACAGUACCGGGAGAAUAAGCUCCGGCUAACUCCGUG